rnacentral:pre_miRNA from 1 species
GAUGGACAGGGUAUGGGAGGAGACUGCAUUCUUCUGCUCAUCCCACUCCAAUCCAUCCA